GAUGAACGCUGGCGGCGUGCCUAAUACAUGCAAGUCGAGCGAACAGAUGAGAAGCUUGCUUCUCUGAUGUUAGCGGCGGACGGGUGAGUAACACGUGGGUAACCUACCUAUAAGACUGGGAUAACUCCGGGAAACCGGGGCUAAUACCGGAUAAUAUUUUGAACCGCAUGGUUCAAUAGUGAAAGACGGUUUCGGCUGUCACUUAUAGAUGGACCCGCGCCGUAUUAGCUAGUUGGUAAGGUAACGGCUUACCAAGGCGACGAUACGUAGCCGAACUGAGAGGGUGAUCGGCCACACAGGAACUGAGACACGGUCCAGACUCCUACGGGAGGCAGCAGUAGGGAAUCUUCCGCAAUGUGCGAAAGCCUGACGGAGCAACGCGGCGUGAGUGAUGAAGGUCUUCGGAUCGUAAAACGCUGUUGUUAGGGAAGAACAAAUUUGUUAGUAACUGAACAAGUCUUGACGGUACCUAACCAGAAAGCCACGGCUAACUACGUGCAAGCCGCCGCCGUAA
rnacentral:rRNA from 1 species